GUAUAGUUGCCAAGAGUCGGCGGAAGAUUACGCACAUGAAGGGUAUACUUCGCCUGUAAGCAGUAUUGGAGCUGCAUUUUCUUGCUCUAAGAAAGUAUUUUAAGUCUCCUUGUUGCGUCGUCUAUUUUUCCAGACAGGGGUUCUUAUUUUUUAAAAGGACCAGAAUGGGCGACGACUGCGGCGGCGGCGGCGGCGGCUGCGACUCGGGAGGCGGCUGCGACUCGGGAGGAGGAUGGGAUUCUGGCGGAGGAGGAAACAGCUACGACUGGAGUAAUGAUGAUGGAGGAGGAGGAGGGGCCUGCGAGGACGCCUUCGUGUACGUGGAGACUUCGAGCGGUCAUCGAGUCAGGACACCGAAGUCGAGGUCAAGAGGCGGGGGCAGCGGUUCGGACGGCCAGAUAUUCCUUAAUAAGCCAUCUUGAUGUUCAGCAAUUUUGUAUCGAAAUCAAAAACUGCUUAUGUGAAAGCCAGAAAGAAGAAGAAGAAGAAAAAGGGAGCGAUUUGAAGAUCAAUGAACGAGAAUGAAAGUGAGAAUAUUUCGGGGUCGAGCUCACAAUCACCACGCCCUCGACAACCGAAGAGACGGGGACCUCGCAGCCGCCUUUCUUGGGGCGCAAUGAACCCCAAGGCAAAUACCCUUUCAUCUACCUUUUUAAGACCAUCCUUUGUCUCGUUUAUAUCUGACGGGAGCGUCCAACCUGUCUCGUUGACGGUUUCGAUUAUUAGACUAGUUUCGUACUUAUGUAAUAAAACUGAUCUAUCAACUC
rnacentral:misc_RNA from 1 species